CAUCCCUCCAUACUCCUGCACGACAUCUCUAGCUGACACAUUUGCAAACAGGUAUUGUGUCAAUUGAAAACUCGCAAAAGACAGAUCACAGAAUUGUCAAGUUAAAGAAAUGUUGCCAAUUUUUCACAGAUGGAUAUGCUUUUUCCCUACUACCCGUGGUGUUGGAAGAGGCUGCAUUGGGAACAGGAUGCGUCGACAGCCUGGAAAGAUGUUUGUGGUGCAUUCACUCAUAACACUUCUUUGUUAGAAAAUUUGUGUAUCAUCUUCAAGCUUGAUAAAAAGCAAUCAGUUACCAGGCAAAAAGACAGAUUGAGGCCUUCAAUCGAACUGAGGACAGAGAAAUAUGCAUGGACAGGUCAAGACUUCUUGCCUUGAUAUGUACAGUGCCUUCAUUCCACAUUUUUUUGUUGCAUCCUGAAUUCAAAAUGUAUUAAAUAAAUAAAAAAUCUCACCCGUCUACACACAAUACCCCAUAAUGACAGUGAAAAUGUGUUUUUCGAAAUGUUUGCAAAUUUAUUGAAAAAUAAAUACAGAAAUAUCGAAUUUACAUAAAUAAGUAUUCAUACCCCUGAGUCAAUACUUUGUAGCACCUU